rnacentral:tRNA from 1 species
GAGGGUAUAGCUCAAGUGGAAGAGCAUAUGCUUAGCAUGCACAAAGUCCUGGGUUCAAUUCCCAGUACCUUCU